rnacentral:rRNA from 1 species
UUAUGGCCAUACCACAUUGAAACACCAGUUCCUGUACAAUCACUAAAGUUAAGCAACAUUGAGCCUGGUCAGUACAUAGAUGGGUCACCACUUGGAAAUACCAGGUGCUGUAAG